CCUACGGGAGGCAGCAGUGAGGAAUAUUGGUCAAUGGGCUUACGCCUGAACCAGCCAAGUCGCGUGAGGGAAGACUGCCCUAUGGGUUGUAAACCUCUUUUGUCAGGGAGCAAUUGGCGCUACGUGUAGCGUUAUCGAGAGUACCUGCAGAAAAAGCAUCGGCUAACUCCGUGCCAGCAGCCGCGGUAAUACGGAGGAUGCGAGCGUUAUCCGGAUUUAUUGGGUUUAAAGGGUGCGUAGGCGGAAUGCCAAGUCAGCGGUAAAAUCGCGGGGCUCAACCUCGCUCCGCCGUUGAUACUGGCGUUCUUGAGUGGGCGAGAGGUAUGCGGAAUGCGUGGUGUAGCGGUGAAAUGCAUAGAUAUCACGCAGAACUCCGAUUGCGAAGGCAGCAUACCGGCGCCCAACUGACGCUGAAGCACGAAAGCGUGGGUAGCGAACAGGAUUAGAUACCCUUGUAGUC
rnacentral:rRNA from 1 species